rnacentral:tRNA from 1 species
UCCCUUGUGGCUCAGCUGGUAAAGAAUCCACCUGCAAUGUGGGAGACUUAGGUUUGAUCCCUGGUUUGGGAA